rnacentral:rRNA from 1 species
UACGUAGGUCCCGAGCGUUGUCCGGAUUUAUUGGGCGUAAAGCGAGCGCAGGCGGUUAGAUAAGUCUGAAGUUAAAGGCUGUGGCUUAACCAUAGUACGCUUUGGAAACUGUUUAACUUGAGUGCAAGAGGGGAGAGUGGAAUUCCAUGUGUAGCGGUGAAAUGCGUAGAUAUAUGGAGGAACACCGGUGGCGAAAGCGGCUCUCUGGCUUGUAACUGACGCUGAGGCUCGAAAGCGUGGGGANCAAACA